GAUGAAUGCUGGCGGCGUGGAUAAGGCAUGCAAGUCGAACGGAGCAUCUUUUGAAGGUUAUUGCGAUUACAUCAAGGUGGCCGACGUUAGAUGCUUAGUGGCGAACGAGUUAGUAACAUCUUGGUACGUACCCUGAAGUCGGGCACAACGGGUCGAAAGAUCCGCUAAUUCCCGAUGGUGCAGCAAUGCUAAAGUCGCAAGACGCUUCAGGAGCGGCCUAGAUCCUAUCAGCUUGUUGGCGGGGUAAUGGCCCACCAAGGCUAUGACGGGUAGGAGGUGUGAGAGCACGACCUUCAACGACGAAACUGAGACACGGUUCGUACACCUACGGGUGGCAGCAGUCGAGAAUAUUCGACAAUGGGCGAAAGCCUGAUCGAGCGACGCCGCGUGCGGGAAGAAGGCCUUCGGGUCGUAAACCGCUUUUGCGUGGGACGAAUUUUGACGGUACCACGAGAAUAAGGGGUUGCUAACUCUGUGC
rnacentral:rRNA from 1 species